rnacentral:rRNA from 1 species
UACGAAGGGGGCUAGCGUUGCUCGGAAUCACUGGGCGUAAAGCGCACGUAGGCGGGUUCUUAAGUCGGGGGUGAAAUCCUGGAGCUCAACUCCAGAACUGCCUUCGAUACUGAGGAUCUCGAGUCCGGGAGAGGUGAGUGGAACUCCGAGUGUAGAGGUGAAAUUCGUAGAUAUUCGGAAGAACACCAGUGGCGAAGGCGGCUCACUGGCCCGGUACUGACGCUGAGGUGCGAAAGCGUGGGGAGCAAACAGG